GACGAACGCUGGCGGCGUGCUUAACACAUGCAAGUCGAACAGUGGCGAACGGGUGAGUAACACGUGAGUAACCUGCCCUCCACUUUGGGAUAACUCCGAGAAAUCGGGGCUAAUACUGGAUAGUGGGGGAUGGGCUCGGGGCCUAUCAGUUUGUUGGCGAGGUAGUGGUCACCAAGGCGUGACGGGUAGCCGGCCUGAGAGGGUGACCGGCCACACGGGGACUGGGACACGGGCCAGACUCCUACGGGAGGAAGCGGUGGGGAUGAUUGCGCAAUGGGCGAAAGCCUGAUGCAGGGACGCCGCGUGGGGGAUGACGGUUUUCCGGUUGUAAACCUCUUUCAGCAAGGAAGCGGUAUCUAACCAGAAAGCCACGGCUAACUACGUGCCAGCAGCCGCGGUAAUAC
rnacentral:rRNA from 1 species